rnacentral:rRNA from 1 species
UACGUAGGGGGCAAGCGUUUGUCCGGAAUCAUUGGGCGUAAAGAGCGUGUAGGCGGCCCGGUAAGUCCGCUGUGAAAGUCCAGGGCUCAACCCUGGGAUGCCGGUGGAUACUGUCGGGCUCGAGUCCGGAAGAGGAGUGUGGAAUUCCUGGUGUAGCGGUGAAAUGCGCAGAUAUCAGGGAGGAACACCAAUGGCGAAGGCAGCACUCUGGGACGUGACUGACGCUGAGACGCGAAAGCGUGGGGAGCAAACGGG